rnacentral:lncRNA from 1 species
AGGCGUUUGCGGCCCAGCGCCUGGACUGGACCUUGGCGUUGGGCCGCAGUUGCCCGGAGUUUUUGGGGCCCCCGGGAACCCGCGCGCCGAGGCCGGCUAAGUUUGGCAGACUCUCUGAGCUCUCGGAAUUCGACUGCCUCCAUUGUUGCUCCUUCUGGCACCCACAGACCACAUCUCUUCAGUGGACCCCCUGAUAGGCCGGUUUGCUCCAGGUGAGGUGUGCUCACAGCAACUGCAACCGUGUUUCUUUCAGACCAUGGGCGUGAGCAGAACCUACUAUGCGCCCCUGCUGCCUGGGCUGUGCUGUUCAGUUUGGGGCCACCAGCCCCACAUGGCUCCUGAGCACUUAAAGUAUGGCUAGUCGGAAUCGAGAUAUAUGCAUUCUUUACCAAAUAAUGUUCAAAAAAUUGUUACAUGUUGAAGUGAUAAACUUUUUCCAUAUAUUGGGAUAAAAGUUUUAUUUGUUUAUUUUUUAGUGUGGGUUCUACAGAAUUUUAAAUGUCACCUGUGGCCUGCAUUAUAUUGCCAUUGGGCAGGCUGAUCUAGGGCUUGCAUGCCUGUGAUCCUUAGGUGCACCCUGUGAGGUAGGUGCUUUAACUGUGUGCACCCUGUGAGGUAGGUGCUUUAACUGUGUGCACAUUGUGAGGUAGGUGCUGAAACUGCUUCCUGUUUUUUUUUUUUUUUUCUUUUGAGACGGAGUCUCACUCUGUCUCCAGGCUGGAGUGCAGUGGUGCGACCUGGGCUUACUGCAAUCUCCGCCUCCCAGGUUCAAGUGAUUCUCCUGCCUCAGCCUCCCGAGUAGCUGGGAUUACAGGGGCACGCCACCACACCCAGCUAAUUUUUGUAUUUUUAGAAGAGACGGGGUUUCACCAUGUUGGCCAUGAUGGUCUCGAUUUCUGACCUUGUCAUCCGUCCGCCUUGGCCUCCCAAAGUGCUGGGAUUACGGGCGUGAGCCACCGUACCCAGCCUGCUUCCUGUUUUAACAGACGAAGAAAUGGAAUAACUUCCAACAAGUUGGAGCUGAAGGAGUGCCCAGGCUGCGGAUGGAGGAAGGACGUGCUCGGGAGAAGGUGAAGAUGGGAGAGAAGCAAGAUCUUCUGUGUUUGGACCAAGGACACAUUUCCUUACUCCAUAGCAGCUGUGCAUGGAAUAUGGAUGUGUGGUCUGGAUGUACAGACACCAUUUUGGACCAUAAAGACAAGGACGAUUGUCUAAGGAUGACACAGCCAGAGCACUGAGAGUGGCGAGAAGGACAGGGGAGCUGCUGUGCCAAGCAGGACUGUCUCUC